rnacentral:rRNA from 1 species
GCCCUUGGGUCCGGCAUAACCCCGGGAAACUGGGGAUAAUUCCGGAUAACGCACAUAUGCUGGAAUGCUUUAUGCGUCAAAUGGAUUCGUCUGCCCAAGGAUGGGUCUGCGGCCUAUCAGGUAGUAGUGGGUGUAAUGUACCUACUAGCCGACGACGGGUACGGGUUGUGAGAGCAAGAGCCCGGAGAUGGAUUCUGAGACAUGAAUCCAGGCCCUACGGGGCGCAGCAGGCGCGAAAACUUUACAAUGCGGGAAACCGUGAUAAGGGGACACCGAGUGCCAGCAUCAUAUGCUGGCUGUCCGGGUGUGUAAAAUACACCUGUUAGCAAGGGCCGGGCAAGACCGGUGCCAGCCGCCGCGGUAACACCGGCGGCCCGAGUGGUGAUCGUGAUUAUUGGGUCUAAAGGGUCCGUAGCCGGUUUGGUCAGUCCUCCGGGAAAUCUGACGGCUUAACCGUUAGGCUUUCGGAGGAUACUGCCAGGCUUGGAACCGGGAGAGGUAAGAGGUACUACAGGGGUAGGAGUGAAAUCUUGUAAUCCCUGUGGGACCACCUGUGGCGAAGGCGUCUUACCAGAACGGGUUCGACGGUGAGGGACGAAAGCUGGGGGCACGAACCGG